CUUGUUGCGGCCGAGUGGUUAAGGCGAUAGACAAGAAAUCUUUUGGGAUCUUCCCGCGCAGGUUCGAAUCCUGCCGACAACA
rnacentral:tRNA from 1 species